GAAGAAACCAUUGCUACUUGAAACCAUAUAUGAAAAUAGAAGCAGAAUUUCCAGUUAUUUGUCGACUUAAGAAUAAGACUUGGAAAGUGUUACUGAUAUCCUUCAGAAUCAUUGAGAAAACAUUCAACUGCAAGGAGGCAAACCAUAAUUACUCGUAAACAUCUAUUAAAACGGAUGCAGAAUUUCCAGCUAUUUCUAAAAAUAUAAAAGCAGAGGAAAUGAAGCGCAUGCCAUCCCGAGAUCAACUUUCGUGAGUAGAUGGACCGAACAAAUCAAUCGCCAGAGAAUGGAACCAACCUGCCACAGCCUUUUGCAUGUAUCCUCGUCACAAGUAAAGUGUUGCCAGGCCAUGAACCUCUCUUAAAGUGCAAAAAUAGAACAAAUAUUUCCAGAAAGCAAGUUUUCUGAAGCUAUACAGAUGUAAACUACACAUAAUUUAUGUGAAAGCGUCUAUUAAGACAGAAGCGGGCUUUCCAGCUAUUUCUCAACACAAGAAAUUUACCUGAAUG